AAUAACCAAAUAUGAUACUCGGGCUAAGGGUCAAGUUGGUAAUUUUUCUUACAUCUCCCUCUCCCGGAGCUCAGGUAUCAUGUACGCCCCCAAAAUAAAGAGCCUUGAAUACUAGAAGAAAAGCACCGAGACCUAACAAGAUUAAGUGAAUACCUAAAAUUGUGGUCAUUUUAUUUCGAUCUUUCAA
rnacentral:antisense_RNA from 1 species